GUGCUCGCUUCGGCAGCACAUAUACUAAAAUUGGAGCAAUACAGAGAAGAUUAGCAUGGCCCCUGUGCAAGGAU
rnacentral:snRNA from 1 species